rnacentral:rRNA from 1 species
CAGCCUACGGGGGGCAGCAGUGAGGAAUAUUGGUCAAUGGGCGGGAGCCUGAACCAGCCAAGCCGCGUGAGGGAAGAAGGUACAGCGUAUCGUAAACCUCUUUUGUCAGGGAACAAAGGCGGGGACUAGUCUCCGGAUGAGGGUACCUGAAGAAAAAGCAUCGGCUAACUCCGUGCCAGCAGCCGCGGUAAUACGGAGGAUGCGGGCGUUAUCCGGAUUUAUUGUGUUUAAAGGGGGCGCAGGCGGCCUGUUAAGUCAGCGGUA